AUUGAACGCUGGCGGCAGGCCUAACACAUGCAAGUCGAGCGAGCGGCGGACGGGUGAGUAAUGUCUGGGAAACUGCCUGAUGGAGGGGGAUAACUACUGGAAACGGUAGCUAAUACCGCAUACCAUCAGAUGUGCCCAUAUGGGAUUAGCUAGUAGGUGGGGUAACGGCUCACCUAGGCGACGAUCCCUAGCUGGUCUGAGAGGAUGACCAGCCACACUGGAACUGAGACACGGUCCAGGCUCCUUCGGGAGGCAGCAGGUGGGAAUAUUGCACAAUGGGCGAAAGCCAGAUGCAGCCAUGCCGCGUGUGUGAGGAAGGCCUUCGUGUUGUAAAGCACUUUCAGCGGGGAGGCGUAACCCGCAGAAGAAGCACCGGCUGACUCCGUGCCAGCAGCCGCGGUAAUUC
rnacentral:rRNA from 1 species